UACGAGUGCCCCAAGCGUUAUCCGGAAUCAUUGGGCGUAAAGGGUGUGUAGGCGGUUGUGUUAGUCUUCUGUUAAAUUCUUCGGCUUAACCGGGGGCAUGCAGAGGAAACGGCACAACUAGAGGAUGCGAGAGGUGAAUGGAACUCAUGGAGUAGGGGUGAAAUCCGUUGAUAUCAUGGGGAACACCAAAUGCGAAGGCAAUUCACUGGCGCACUCCUGACGCUGAGACACGAAAGCGUAGGUAGCGAAUGGG
rnacentral:rRNA from 1 species